AAACAUCAAACAUAUGCAUACGUUUUUGGGGGUUGUUUGAUGGAUCAUUAUUAAUUUAUACAAAUUUCAAAGUUUAGAAAUUUUAUAAAACUAAAAUUUUAUAUUUUCUUUUUUUGAAUUGUGAUUCUAUUGAGUUGUGAUUAUUUAAGAUUUCAAUUGACACUCAUCCAAAUUUUGCAGACAAAACAUGUUAUUAUCAUGAUCCCGCUUUCGGAGUCCAUACAUUUCUGCAAAUCAUGUUUCUAACAGGUGUUCUCUUUUUAUUAACCUUACGUACUGUUUGUUGUUUCAUUGUGAUUUUUUUUUCAUUCAUUGUGAAUUUUGUUUGGUUAAUAUGAUUAAUUGGAGAAAAAAAAUAAUAGUGUGUUUAAUUGCUAUAAUUUUUUAACAUGUAUGUUUCUCAAAAAUGUGUAUGCUUUUACUUUCUAAAAGGAAGUUGAAUAAUAACAUUACGAAAAUUUUCUCUCUCUAAAAGCUCCAGCUUCUCACUAGUUUUCUUCACUGUUAAAAUUGCUUCUGUGGCCGGGGUGCAUUUAGCCGCGGCCACCGAAACAAUAUAAAGAUCCAUAUCUCUUUGGGUUAGCCAAACUUCUCUUCCGUUGAUGAUCUUAUGUCUUCGCUAAAGCGAUGUUUUUUGUUGUGUUUUCGAUUCAAACAGAUCCAAGCUUCCUGUUUUAUCUUGAUCUGUUUCUGAAUCGAGUAAUAAAAUUCCGAUUUAGAGAUCAGAAUAGGAUUGUCACCUCUUUCGUGAAGUCAUAUCAAAUCCCAAUUUGUUGAUGUUUGGCUUUCUUCUUUUGAGGUUAAGCUCAGGAUCCUUUCUAAAGGAAAUAAGUAUUUUUCCAAUUAGUCUUGCCGAUGAAUCAGUUAAGGGUUAAGCAUUCCAAGUGGAAGGAACGGUGAAGAUGAUGUGCUAAUAUCAGUUGAUUCAAAAAGGGGCUCAAAUAAGCUUGGCAUUCUAAUAGGAACGGUCCAGCAAAGGUUCCACUUCAGGUUCAAUUAAACAGUGCAUGUGUUAACAACCAAGGAUGUAAGAUUGUCAAACCAUGGCAUCGGCGAAAAGCAUGGCGAAAAGCGUAAGAGGUUAAUUCAUUGGUGUCAGAGAUCAACAAAGAUGAAGAAACCCAUGAAACGAUGAAGAUAGAGAAGCGUCUUGGAUGCUCAAGGUGGCGGAAGUUUCACAGUGGCUGAGGAUUGACGUCUAAGGCAUGAUGAACGUGAAGAAGACACGUGCCUUGGUGAAGCAGAAAUUGUUAACACGUGGGCAGAAUACCCGGCACUCCCACAGCUUCUCUAUUUGGACAUUUAAAUUUGUAAUUUUAAUGGGUUUGUAUCCGAAACGAAUGUAAAAUUGCCCAUUUAGGUUGUUUCAAUGAAACAAUGUUGACAAAAAAAAAAAAAAUUUCUAAAAUAUUUGUAAAUCUUAAUCAUAU
rnacentral:lncRNA from 1 species